GCCGAAGUGGUGAAAUUGGUAGACACGCACGUUUCAGAGGCGUGUGUUCGCGAGGACAUGCGGGUUCGAGUCCCGCCUUCGGCACCA
rnacentral:tRNA from 1 species